rfam:Pseudomonadales bacterium RIFCSPLOWO2_02_FTLL_63_210 rifcsplowo2_02_scaffold_157288, whole genome shotgun sequence.
AAAGUCCCUGCGAGAAAAGUCAUGGCGAGACACCUCGGCCCCGAGUCAUGCGCCGGUCAUCGCGAGGUGCCCGGUGAAGUGUUGACAGGGGAAACCGACAGGCCAGCCAUCGAGCCGCGAAAUCAUCAGUCUGGAGUGCCGACGUUGUUAAGCGAUGCGGAAGGCAACACGAGACACGGCGACAAUCGCAAGUCGUGUCGCGACUCCACGCGGUCGGAGACCC